ACCCCUGUGAGGGGAGUGAAAUAGAACCUGAAACCGUGUACGUACAAGCAGUAGGAGCAGGCUUUGUCCUGUGACUGCGUACCUUUUGUAUAAUGGGUCAGCGACUUAUAUUCAGUGGCAAGGUUAACCAUCUAGGGGAGCCGUAGGGAAACCGAGUCUUAACUGGGCGUUCAGUCUCUGGAUAUAGACCCGAAACCAGGUGAUCUAGCCAUGGGCAGGUUGAAGGUUGAGUAACAUCAACUGGAGGACCGAACCGACUAAUGUUGAAAAAUUAGCGGAUGACUUGUGGCUAGGGGUGAAAGGCCAAUCAAACCUGGAGAUAGCUGGUUCUCCCCGAAAGCUAUUUAGGUAGCGCCUCGGACGAAUACUACUGGGGGUAGAGCACUGUUAAGGCUAGGGGGUCAUCCCGACUUACCAACCCUUUGCAAACUCCGAAUACCAGUAAGUACUAUCCGGGAGACACACGGCGGGUGCUAACGUCCGUCGUGGAGAGGGAAACAACCCAGACCGCCAGCUAAGGUCCCAAAUUACUACUAAGUGGGAAACGAUGUGGGAAGGCUCAGACAGCCAGGAUGUUGGCUUAGAAGCAGCCAUCAUUUAAAGAAAGCGUAAUAGCUCACUGGUCGAGUCGGCCUGCGCGGAAGAUGUAACGGGGCUAAGUAGUAAACCGAAGCUGCGGCAAUGUGCUUUUGCACAUUGGGUAGGGGAGCGUUCUGUAAGCGGUUGAAGGUGUGUGGUAACGCAUGCUGGACGUAUCAGAAGUGCGAAUGCUGACAUGAGUAACGAUAAAGGGGGUGAAAAACCUCCUCGCCGGAAGACCAAGGGUUCCUGUCCAACGUUAAUCGGGGCAGGGUAAGUCGACCCCUAAGGCGAGGCCGAAAGGCGUAGUCGAUGGGAAACGGGUUAAUAUUCCCGUACUUCUUACAAUUGCGAUGGGGGGACGGAGAAGGCUAGGUGGGCCUGGCGACGGUUGUCCAGGUUCAAGUGCGUAGGCUUAAGAGUUAGGUAAAUCCGGCUCUUUUUAAGGCUGAGACACGACGUCGAGCAUCUACGGAUGUGAAGUCAUUGAUGCCAUGCUUCCAGGAAAAGCCUCUAAGCUUCAGAUUGUAAGGAAUCGUACCCCAAACCGACACAGGUGGUCGGGUAGAGAAUACCAAGGCGCUUGAGAGAACUCGGGUGAAGGAACUAGGCAAAAUGGUACCGUAACUUCGGGAGAAGGUACGCUCUCGACGGUGAAGUCCCUCGCGGAUGGAGCUAUUGAGAGUCGCAGAUACCAGGUGGCUGCAACUGUUUAUUAAAAACACAGCACUGUGCAAAAUCGUAAGAUGACGUAUACGGUGUGACGCCUGCCCGGUGCCGGAAGGUUAAUUGAUGGGGUUAGACUUCGGUCGAAGCUCUUGAUCGAAGCCCCGGUAAACGGCGGCCGUAACUAUAACGGUCCUAAGGUAGCGAAAUUCCUUGUCGGGUAAGUUCCGACCUGCACGAAUGGCGUAAUGAUGGCCACGCUGUCUCCACCCGAGACUCAGUGAAAUUGAAAUCGCUGUGAAGAUGCAGUGUACCCGCGGCUAGACGGAAAGACCCCGUGAACCUUUACUACAGCUUGGCACUGAACAUUGACCCUACAUGUGUAGGAUAGGUGGGAGGCUUUGAAGCACGUACGCCAGUAUGUGUGGAGCCGUCCUUGAAAUACCACCCUUGUAGUGUUGAUGUUCUAACGUCGACCCCUUAUCGGGGUUGCGGACAGUGCCUGGUGGGUAGUUUGACUGGGGCGGUCUCCUCCCAAAGAGUAACGGAGGAGCACGAAGGUGGGCUAAUCACGGUUGGACAUCGUGAGGUUAGUGCAAUGGCAUAAGCCCGCUUGACUGCGAGAAUGACAAUUCGAGCAGGUGCGAAAGCAGGUCAUAGUGAUCCGGUGGUUCUGAAUGGAAGGGCCAUCGCUCAACGGAUAAAAGGUACUCCGGGGAUAACAGGCUGAUACCGCCCAAGAGUUCAUAUCGACGGCGGUGUUUGGCACCUCGAUGUCGGCUCAUCACAUCCUGGGGCUGAAGUCGGUCCCAAGGGUAUGGCUGUUCGCCAUUUAAAGUGGUACGCGAGCUGGGCUUAGAACGUCGUGAGACAGUUCGGUCCCUAUCUGCCGUGGGCGUUGGAAGAUUGAAGGGGGCUGCUCCUAGUACGAGAGGACCGGAGUGGACGAACCUCUGGUGUUCGGGUUGUGUCGCCAGACGCAUUGCCCGGUAGCUAAGUUCGGAAUCGAUAACCGCUGAAAGCAUCUAAGCGGGAAGCGAGCCCUGAGAUGAGUCUUCCCUGAUACUUUAAGUAUCCUAAAGGGUUGUCGGAGACUACGACGUUGAUAGGUCAGGUGUGUAAGUGCUGUGAGGCAUUGAGCUAACUGAUACUAAUUGCCCGUGAGGCUUAACCAUACAACACCCAAGGGGUUU
rnacentral:rRNA from 1 species